rnacentral:misc_RNA from 1 species
AAGUCGUAACAAGGUUUCCGUAGGUGAACCUGCGGAAGGAUCAUUAACACGUAUCCAAACGUUAAAACCCCCCCCGUGAACAUUCAUCCUGCUCUUGUAACCCGCGAUUCAGAGACCUCUGGCCCGUGAGAUUCUUUGAGACGUUACAAUUUUGAGCGGUAGUUCUAUAGGCCUUGUUUCCCCAAGCAGUCAGUGUCUGAAAGUGUCAUUGAUUGUGCAAGGAUAACGCUUCACGAUUCUUGUAGACCGCAUCUCGCGGGCAGGAGCUAGGCCAAAGGGUCCCCAUGCCCCCUUACAACCCCACAGUUUAAUGUGAAGCUCAAUGUAAUACAUUGGGUAAAAAAACCGAACAACUGUUAACAAUGGAUAUCUUGGUUCUC